AGUGAACGCUGGCGGUAGGCCUAACACAUGCAAGUCGAACGGCAGCGCCGUAAUAGCUUGCUCUUACGGGUGGCGAGUGGCGGACGGGUGAGGAAUCCAUCGGAAUCUACUUUUUCGUGGGGGAUAACGUAGGGAAACUUACGCUAAUACCGCAUACGACCUACGGGUGAAAGCAGGGGAUCUUCUGACCUUGCGCGAUUGAAUGAGCCGAGGUCGGAUUAGUGAGUUGGCGGGGUAAAGGCCCAACAAGGCGACGAUCCGAAGCGGGUCUGAGAGGAUGGACCGACAGCCUGGAAGUGAGGAACGGUCCAGACUCCUAGGGGAGGCAGCAGUGGGGAAUAUUGGACAAUGGAGGAGAGCCUGAUCCAGCAAUACCGCGUGGGUGAAGAAGGCCUUCGGGUGGGAGAGCCAUGUUGGUGGGAAAGAAGAGAAGCAGGUUAAGACCCCGCGGUUAUGACGGUACCCAAAGAAUAAGCACCGGCUAACUUCGUG
rnacentral:rRNA from 1 species